UUUCAGGGACUGAGCCUUGCCAUCUUCUAAGGGUUCAAAUGUGCCUUUAUAGAUAUUUCACUGAACUAAUAGGAAUGAGAAGAUAUUAUCUCACAUUUGGCAAGUUGCUAUGAAGUCAUAACUUAAAUUAAGCACAAGGCUGAUGUUCUCACCAUAAGACAUUUUUGUACAAGACUAAGAACUCGGCAUGCUUUUACAUUGGAAAUUUGGUAAUUAAUAUCAGCAUCCUGAUUUUCCAUUGGGGAGUAAGUCAACCUUCCUUGGAUAGUAGCAUAGGGACCUUUAUUGUACAUAAGUAACCUGGACUUGGACAGAGUCAAUGAAUUUAUCCACGAAUGGGUAUCUGCCUUCAGUCCAGUGAAAAUCAACCAGGUACUUCUGUACAGCCCGAGGGGGAAUAUGUCCUUUUCUCUGCCUGAAGUUGCCCAUGGUCAUGUUUGUGAUUAUACGGGGUAAACUGAGAAUAAAAUAAUCACAUACAAAAGAAGAAUCAAAAAAAUGAGAUAUGAUCUUGAUAACCUAAUUUAAACUCUAAGUAAUUCUCAUAACAGGAUUUAGUGAACAUUCUAACCCU
ensembl:lncRNA novel transcript